CAAAUCAUUAACGUCGUUUUUCAGCUCUUCUAAAGCUCGGAGAGUUCGGUCGCUUGAGAUAUGGUUUUCGUAGUCGCUUAUCAGCUAGAUAUGGAAUCAAUCCCAGCAAGAUUUCGAGAUGGAAACUCUGCGGUAGUACUGGAAGAUCGUUCUCGGUUGGACCCUGUUUAUCGAUUAUUGUCUCAAUUUCAUGAAGGUAGAUGAUUCGUCGUGUAUUACUGAAUAAUACAGCCUUGUAUCGGAGCCAAGCGCGAAAAUCUUUGCAAAGCUGAUCAUUUUCCUUAGUAUAAUUGGAGCUGGAACAGGCGCUGCUUCGUGUACGUGAGCUGGAGCUGAUGGUUGGAGUACUGGAUGAAAAACUUCUUCGAAAUUUAUAUCUGAUGUAGUCGAAGAUGCCGAAGAAAUCGAAUAUUGAUCGCAUCGACGAGCAGGUUUAGCAGACGUACCGGAAUCAGAUGGCAGCGGCGAAUCGAUUUUGGCUGGAACAGCAGCUUUUUCAUCAUCAGAGCUCGAUUCAGACAGAUUUAUCUCAGGAAUGGCAAUCGCUGGCAUCGACGCUGGAGCGGAGGUUUGUAACGUUUUGAUCAGCUUAUCUUUCUCUCGAAUUUCUUCGGUUAAUGCUGCAUUUUGUCGUAGGAGCUGUCGAAGUUCAGAAGCAAGCUGGGAAUUACGUUCGUGCUGAUUAUUCAUCGCGAUAUUCAUCUCAGUGAGCUGAGCUCUGGUAGCGUUAUUGAUGAUAAGGCGAAUGCUUUCGGCGAUUGGUGAUUUUUGAACGACGAUUUCACGUAGCGCUUUGAUAUCAAUAUUCGCGACGCACUUUUUGAACGGACAAGUGAUUAAUACCGCAGGUCCAGUGGCACCGGACGGAGGAACAGCGAGCGAACCGUCACAGAAAGGGCAGACAGCUAUGGAGAGCUCACAAGUAUGAUCGAUUUCCGCGUUAGCCAUAACAUCGACGAACUAAUUAGAAUCAAUAGAAAAAAUCACCGGAGUCUCGAACAAAUAAACGGCUUGAGUAACGAACGAACUGAACGAAGACAUACGAUCCUUACGAAGAAUAAAUUACUUAUGAAGACAGAAUCAGUACUUGCGUAAAUUCUUGGUGCAGAAAAUGGCCUAAAAGGCUGACUGUGGAAGGGAUUAUCUCGCAAAUAUCUUGUUAAAUGUUGGGUAAAGGGAGUAGAAAGCUAUCUGCGAUAGCUGUAGAUUAUCGCUAGAUGUCUGGCAAAUUCUAUAUUUAAUCCCUUAUCUGUUGUAGACAGCAUUGUUAGAAUAAUUGCAUUUUAGAAGAUAUAUUUGUUGAUAAUUUCUGUCUGUAUGUUAAUUUUAUCCUUGAAUAAAUAGAAUCAAUAGAAUCAAUAUCGUGUAUUAGUAAAUUUUCUUUUUGACGAACCAUUUUCAGCAAAUUCCACCUUCUCACCAAAUAGAACAAGUUAAACUCUGUCAGGAUAGGUAAAAUAUACUCGUGGAUAUUCUCAAAGUAAAAUGAACAAUCUCCGAGUUGGUAAUUAAUGAUAUCAACGUUGUAUGAUGUUAAAAUAAAGUCGAAAUAUAAUAUUUACGCGUUCACGAUGAAAUAAUAAUAAAUAAUAGCUGAAACUUCUUUGAAGAGAUGAAAUCAGGGAAUUAUGUGUACAAAAUGGCUAAAUAGAACAAAUGGCAAUCAUUUCCAGUAUUAUUAUUCAAAC